CCGUAGGUGAACCUGCGGAGGGAUCAUUGCUGGAACGCGCCCCAGGCGCACCCAGAAACCCUUUGUGAACUUAUACCUUACUGUUGCCUCGGCGCAUGCCGGCCCCCCUGGGGGCCCCUCCUUCUGGAGGAGCAGGCACGCCGGCGGCCAACCUAACUCUUGUUUUUACACUGAAACUCUGAGAAUAAAACAUAAAUGAAUCAAAACUUUCAACAACGGAUCUCUUGGUUCUGGCAUCGAUGAAGAACGCAGCGAAAUGCGAUAAGUAAUGUGAAUUGCAGAAUUCAGUGAAUCAUCGAAUCUUUGAACGCACAUUGCGCCCUCUGGUAUUCCGGAGGGCAUGCCUGUUCGAGCGUCAUUUCAACCCUCAAGCCUGGCUUGGUGAUGGGGCACUGCCUGUAAAAAGGCAGGCCCUGAAAUUCAGUGGCGAGCUCGCCAGGACCCCGAGCGCAGUAGUUAAACCCUCGCUUUGGAAGGCCCUGGCGGUGCCCUGCCGUUAAACCCCCAACUUCUGAAAAUUUGACCUCGGAUCAGGUAGGAAUACGCGCUGAACUUAAGCAUAUCAAUAAGCGGAGGA
rnacentral:rRNA from 2 species